GAUGAACGCUGGCGGCGUGCCUAAUACAUGCAAGUCGAGCGAAUGGAUUAAGAGCUUGCUCUUAUGAAGUCAGCGGCGGACGGGUGAGUAACACGUGGGUAACCUGCCCAUAAGACUGGGAUAACUCCGGGAAACCGGGGCUAAUACCGGAUAAUAUUUUGAACUGCAUGGUUCAAAAUUGAAAGGCGGCUUCGGCUGUCACUUCUGGAUGGACCCGCGUCGCAUUAGCUAGUUGGUGAGGUAACGGCUAACCAAGGCAACGAUGCGUAACCGACCUGGGAGGGGUAAUGGCCAAACUGGGGCUUGAAACCGGCCCAGACUCCUACGGGAGGCAGCAGUAGGGAAUCUUCCGCAAUGGACGAAAGUCUGACGGAGCAACGCCGCGUGAGUGAUGAAGGCUUUCGGGUCGUAAAACUCUGUUGUUAGGGAAGAACAAGUGCUAGUUGAAUAAGCUGGCACCUUGACGGUACCUAACCAGAAAGCCACGGCUAACUACGUGCCAGCCGCCGCAGUAA
rnacentral:rRNA from 1 species